rnacentral:sRNA from 1 species
UCUUUAGCUUUUUCUAAAGAUUCGUGUUCAUUUUU